AAUUGGUACCUUUUGUGCCAUUCAUUGGCUGUCUCCAUUAUUUUAUAUUAUUCAACCCAUAAACCGGUUGCAUAUGGACGAGAAAAAGUAGAAAAGUUUCCUCUGCAAAACAGCAAUAGCAGUCAUGGUCUUCCCAAUGAAUACACUGUUUGCAGUGCUGAGGACGAUGAUGAACACGAUGAUGGUGAUGUUGAUGUUGUUGGGUUCGUGAUGAACGAUGUUGAACGAUUUUAGAUGAAUGAGUUGAGUUGGUUGAAGAUCUAUGAAGAUGAUGACGAAAGCUACGAAUCUGAAUCUCGGAUCCGACCCUUCCACGGGAUUAGGGUUUCAGGAGAUCUCGGUCGCAAGUUCUUUUCCAAUAUGUUUUGUUUUCUGCA